rnacentral:rRNA from 1 species
CCUUUGACGUUAGCGGCGGACGGGUGAGUAACACGUGGGUAACCUACCUAUAAGACUGGGAUAACUUCGGGAAACCGGAGCUAAUACCGGAUAAUAUUUCGAACCGCAUGGCUCGAUAGUGAAAGGUGGUUUUGCUAUCACUUAUAGAUGGACCCGCGCCGUAUUAGCUAGUUGGUAAGGUAACGGCUUACCAAGGCGACGAUACGUAGCCGACCUGAGAGGGUGAUCGGCCACACUGGAACUGAGACACGGUCCAGACUCCUACGGGAGGCAGCAGGC